rnacentral:tRNA from 1 species
GGCGACGUGGCCGAGUGGCUAGGCAGCGGCCUGCAAAGCCGUCCACACCGGUUCGAUUCCGGUCGUCGCCU